rnacentral:rRNA from 1 species
AAAGGAAUAGACGGGCACCCGCACAAGCGGUGGAGCACGCUGUUUAAUUCGACGAUACGCGAAGAACCUUACCAGGGCUUGACAUCCCUUUGACCGCUCUAGAAAUAGAGUUUUUCCUUCGGGGACAAAGGUGACAGGUGGUGCAUGGUUGUCGUCAGCUCGUGUCGUGAGAUGUUUGGUUAAGUCCAAUAACGAGCGCAACCCUUUUCUUUAGUUGCUAACAUUUAGUUGAGCACUCUAAGGAUACUGCCAGUGAUAAGCUGGAGGAAGGUGGGGAUGACGUCAAAUCAUCAUGCCCCUUACGUCCUGGGCAACAGGCGUGCUACAAUGGCCAAUACAAUGAGAUGCAAUAUCGCGAGAUGGAGCAAAUCUUUGAAAGUUGGUCUAAGUUCGGAUUGAAGUCUGCAACUCGACUUCAUGAAGUCGGAAUCGCUAGUAAUCGCGAAUCAGCACGUCGCGGUGAAUACGUUCUCGGGUGUUGUACACACCGCCCGU